UAAAUGGGACCGGAAGUGGAUUAUUCAGAUUUUUCCUGUAUUUCCAGUAUAUAAGGCAGGUGUUCGUGCUGAUGAUACAGGCUUGGUGACAUUUCGAGAUGAAGUUCGUAGCGUUGUUUGUGGCUGUACUGGCGAUUGUGUUUGCCGUUGUGAGCGGCAUGGGCAUCGGCGGCAACGCGGCGUUGUCGCACGACAAGGAGAAGGCUGGUUGCGGCGGCGGUGGCGGACACGGCGGCCCCCCACCACCACCACCCCCCUCUAACAGUUCGGGUUAAUCAUCCGGUACAGCAUCCUCGCAACUAUGCUUCAAAUAAAAUAAGUAGCAUCAUCA